ensembl:lncRNA
UGGAAAUGAAACUAAAUUCUGUGUUUCCUCCACAGAUGGUUGACCUCUUUCAGUUAGUCGCUGCAUUACUCAUUUAAACAAUUAUACAGGUCAGAAUGGUGUAAUCUAAAUUAUUUAGUCUCUGGGUGUUUUUCAGACACCACUGACAGGUCGAGAAGAUACAGCUGCUGGUUGUACCUGGAUUUGAACUCCACAAGAUAAGAGAGUUUGAGUUUGAAUUUCAGCCAUCAUCUGACAUUGCCCAUAAAGCUGCAUACCACAAUACUGUGAACUGGUCCUUGGGGUGUUGAAUUCUUCUACAGGUCCAAAUCUCUCCAUCAAAAAAUGUAGCAAAGGGAUGGUACUCUACUAUCAUGAAUUUCAAAGACAAACUGCAUUAAUCAAGAUGUACUCCUUUAGGAGCAGAGUGUAUCCAGAAGCCUAACAAGACAAUAUAUGGCAAGGUCUGCUCUGAAGAGGAGUACCAUUGAAUUAAACCCAUGGACAGGAUCAUGGAAAUAUCCAUUUAUUUUAAAAUAAAAAAUAAAGCAAAGAAAAUUCC